rnacentral:rRNA from 1 species
GGGCCCGCACAAGCGGUGGAGCAUGUGGUUUAAUUCGAUGAUACGCGAGGAACCUUACCAGGACUUAAAUGUAAGUUGCAUGAUUCAGAAAUGGAUCUUUCUUCGGACUACUUACAAGGUGCUGCAUGGUUGUCGUCAGCUCGUGCCGUGAGGUGUCAGGUUAAGUCCUAUAACGAGCGCAACCCCUAUCGUUAGUUGCCAUCAAGUAAAGUUGGGAACUCUAGCGAAACUGCCGGUGCAAACCGUGAGGAAGGUGGGGAUGACGUCAAAUCAUCACGGCCCUUACGUUCUGGGCUACACACGUGCUACAAUGGCCGGUACAGAAAGCAGCCACUAUGCGAAUAGGAGCUAAUCUUCAAAGCCGGUCUCAGUUCGGAUCGCAGUCUGCAACUCGACUGCGUGAAGCUGGAAUCGCUAGUAAUCGG